rnacentral:lncRNA from 1 species
GGGGAUGAUUUUGAAAAAGAAUUUAUUUUUGACUCAAAUGGGGGACAAUGGAUAUAUAUUUUUUUCUUUUUAGAUAAAGUCAAGAAGACCACACAUCAUUUUGAACUCUGAUUGCUUUAUUUUCAAAAGAUUAACUCUAUGACUGGAUGACCUCAACAUGAGUCGUUUUUUCCUUUUUCUUCCUUUCUAGACCGCCCUUUCGGGUUUUCAAUCUAGUGGACUUAUUUUUUUAUUUUUAUUAUUUUUUUAUUAUUAUUCUUUUUGAAAAUUAUUUUGUUCUUUUGUUUGCCUCAAUGGAUUCAGGGAUCACCCACCUAGCACAAGCGAGAAAAAUUUUGGCUAGACCAAUCUACCUUAGUGUAAAGGUUUACUUUGUUACUGAGGGCAAUGACAGUGUUUGUGGAGAAAAUCAUUUAUUUUGGAAAAGUGAAGGGUGAAGGUUUUCAAGCAAUAUGUGCACAAACAUCUAGAAAGGAAACGUCAAAUUAUUAUUUUUGAAUAAACAUUUGACCUCGAAAAAAUUUGACACUGCCACGUUUGUUUUUUAUCAUCUUUUUUCAUUUUUUUUGCUAUUUUUGAAAAAUAAGACUUUGACGAAUUGCAAGAAAGAUAAGCGACUCAAGAUUGCCUCCAUUUUUUUCAAUUUUGUUAUUUGCGGCUUUUGUUUUCUCCGUG